rnacentral:tRNA from 1 species
GGAGAGAUGGCCGAGUAGGCUGAAGGCGCUCGCCUGCUAAGCGAGUGUGUGUCGAAAGAUGCACCCCGGGUUCGAAUCCCGGUCUCUCCG